UACAGAGGGUGCAAGCGUUAAUCGGAUUUAUUGGGCGUAAAGGGGGCGCAGGCGGAAAGAUAAGUCAGAUGUGAAAGCCCAGGGCUCAACCUUGGAACAGCAUUUGAAACUAUCUUUCUUGAGGGUAGGCGGAGAAAACGGAAUUCCACAAGUAGCGGUGAAAUGCGUAGAUAUGUGGAAGAACACCCGUGGCGAAAGCGGUUUUCUAGCUUAUUCCUGACGCUGAGGCCCGAAAGCUAGGGGAGCAAACAGG
rnacentral:rRNA from 1 species